rnacentral:misc_RNA from 1 species
CAACCCUCAAGCCUAGCUUGGUGUUGGGGCAUUACCUGACUGUUUUACAGGAGGGUAAGCCCUGAAAUUUAGUGGCGAGCUCGCCAGGACUCCGAGCGCAGUAGUUAAACCCUCGCUCUGGACAGUACUGGCGCGGCCCUGCCGUAAAACCCCCAACUUCUGAAA